rnacentral:tRNA from 1 species
AGGGGUGUAGCUCAAUGGUAGAGGUCUGGCUUAGCAGGCAAGAAGCCCUGAGUUCAAUUCUCAGCAUCACAA